GACGAACGCUGGCGGCGUGCUUAACACAUGCAAGUCGAACGAUGAAGCCGGAGCUUGCUCCGGUGGAUUAGUGGCGAACGGGUGAGUAACACGUGAGCAAUCUGCCCUUGACUCUGGGAUAACUGCGGGAAACUGUAGCUAAUACCGGAUACGACACCUUGGGGCAUCCCAGGGUGUGGAAAGAAUUUCGGUCAAGGAUGAGCUCGCGGCCUAUCAGCUAGUUGGUGAGGUAACGGCUCACCAAGGCGACGACGGGUAGCCGGCCUGAGAGGGUGACCGGCCCAACUGGGACUGAGACACGGCCCAGACUCCUACGGGAGGCAGCAGUGGGGAAUAUUGCACAAUGGGCGCAAGCCUGAUGCAGCAACGCCGCGUGGGGGAUGACGGCCUUCGGGUUGUAAACCUCUUUUAGUAGGGAAGAAGCGAAAGUGACGGUACCUGCAGAAAAAGCACCGGCUAACUACGUGCCAGCCGCCGCCGUAA
rnacentral:rRNA from 1 species